AUGAACGCUGGCGGCGUGCCUAAUACCUGCAAGUCGAGCGAACAGACGAGGAGCUUGCUCCUCUGACGUUAGCGGCGGACGGGUGAGAAACACGUGGAUAACCUACCUAUAAGACUGGGAUAACUUCGGGAAACCGGAGCUAAUACCGGAUAAUAUAUUGAACCGCAUGGUUCAAUAGUGAAAGACGGUUUUGCUGUCACUUAUAGAUGGAUCCGCGCCGCAUUAGCUAGUUGGUAAGGUAACGGCUUACCAAGGCAACGAUGCGUAGCCGACCUGAGAGGGUGAUCGGCCACACUGGAACUGAGACACGGUCCAGACUCCUACGGGAGGCAGCAGUAGGGAAUCUUCCGCAAUGGGCGAAAGCCUGACGGAGCAACGCCGCGUGAGUGAUGAAGGUCUUCGGAUCGUAAAACUCUGUUAUUAGGGAAGAACAAAUGUGUAAGUAACUAUGCACGUCUUGACGGUACCUAAUCAGAAAGCCACGGCUAACUACGUG
rnacentral:rRNA from 1 species